rnacentral:lncRNA from 1 species
UAAUCCGCAGUGAGGAAAUCCGCCGCGCAUCGGAUUGCCAUUCAAUCCCACGGAAAUCCGGCUCGUUGGCCUUGUCGGUGGCGCGUGUGCAAUAAGUUCUUUCGAGUAGUUUUGUCUUGGCUGGAACAGUAAAGUUAAAAACUUUAAAUGGAAAUAAAGGGUAGUAUUUACAAGAAAAUGAGAAUGAAUAAGUCAUCCCUGGUUUUCAAAAGAGAGACCAUAUUAAACUUACAUAUGUGAAGACUGCAUCCCCCUGCCUUCAGUGCCAGCAGUUUCUCUGUUCUGUAAUCAAUGUGAUUCACAGGAG